ensembl:lncRNA
CCUGCCCGCCGUGAUAUCCCCGGAGUUCCAGCCAGAAGACGGACAGUAAGCGGUGCUCACCAAUUUGCUCUGCCUCUUGAGAGUUCGCCUCCUAGCAAAAGCCCCUCAUCGUCACUGACCUUGGGGGCGUGGCGUUGGCAAGGGUGCGAGAGCGGAACCCGCCCCUCUGCUGCUGGCCACGCCCCUCUCUAAGCCCCGCCCAGCCGGCGGUGGGAGUUUGCCGUUUCCAUGCGAACGGUAAACAGAGCUGUUUUCUCCUCCGUCACUCCUGUCAUACCCAUGAUAUGAUUCUACCCGCUGAGCCCUGGAUGCCAGAGGGUGAGGAGCUGGUGCUGGUGUUCACAGUAAAGAAGUAACUCAAAGAAGCAGUUAAACUUGGGAGCUUAUAUACCCUUCUUUACAAAGAAAAGAGGGUUUGGGCUUCAAGGGAGUUUGUGGGGAAGUAACUGGGAAACAUAUGGAGAACUAAUGGAAGGUUGACAUAUGGUGUCAGAAAGUGGGAACUGAAUCGAUCUCACCUUCAUGGACUGGCAUCCUCUGGAAAUGGCUACAAUACCUACACGAGUCCCUUGUGUUCACCACUUCUAUGGACCGCUAGUUCCUCCAAUAGAAGCUUAGUCCUGAGCUAACAUCUGCUGCCAAUCCUUCUCUUUUUGCUGAGGAAGACUGGCCCUGAGCUAACAUCCGUGCCCAUCUUUCUCCACUUUAUAUGUGGGACGCCUACCACAUGGCUUGCCAAGUGGUGCCAUGUCUGCACCUGGGAUCCAAACUGGCAAACCCUGGGCCACCAAAGAGGAAUGUGUGAACUUAACUGCUGCGCCACCGGGCUGGCCCUGUAGUGAGAUCUUUAACCAUGCCACUUUAAGUCUUUUGUCAUUUACAGACAGUUAUUGUUUUACUCUGAUACUUUUGGAAAUGUGUCUCAUCUUCAGAGAGCUUCAUGGAAAGGACUCUGACCUUCUAGAAUUCAGGUUUCUAGUAAAAUUUCAAAUUAUAAAACUGAACUGGGUAAGAAAUUACAGUACUCCUACAGAGACUCAUGGCUUCAUAAAAUUGCUAACAAAAAGGUCAAAGAACAAAUAAAUAUUAAUUACAUGGGACUACAUGAACCAGGGAGGAUGCUCUAAUGUUUUUUUUUUCCAGAUUUAAAGAAAUCUUUUCUCUUAAGCUGUCACAACGUGGUAGGAUAUAUCUUUGUGAACAAAGAUGAAACAUUUACUUUUUCUCCCUACCUCAUCCCUCCAGAAUUCAGAAACUGUCAGUGAGUAUUCUUAUUUUCCCUUUAUAAAUAAUCAGACCAAGUUUUAAAUUUAAACAAAUGUUUUACUGUUAUUAUUUUUGGUAAAAAAUGAGGGUAAUUGUAGAGAGAAAAAUUAUGUUUGCACCUUUGUAGAUAUUAGAUUCUAGUCCUGUUAAUUGUCUUUGAGGUUUUGUUAUAUACCUGUUGACUGGAUUCCUCUGACCUAAGGUAUUGUCUUUGGUCUUGCCAACUAUUCCCAGUACCCUCUUUGGAAAACAUACUCACUCCACAUAAGAUAGUCACCAGCAGAUAAAUGUCUGUUGACAUACAACCUUCUGCUGAUCCCUCGUUGUCUUAUGCUAGUAUGACCAGUUACUGUAAGUUUCUACUGUCUUCUACUCAAGGCUUUCAUCAACAGGUAAAAGAAACUUUCCUGGAUUCCAAUUUAAAGCAUCCUAUUGGUCAGUCUAGAGCCUGGUGACUAGGUAUUCUGGAAGCAUCAUCAGAGGAAGACAGCCCUCAAGCCUUGUUGAAAAGGACCUUACCAAGUGCUCCUGACCACUGAUACUACUGCAGAACUAGAAGGCAUUGAACCUUGGAGAUACAUCUCACAGCUAAAGAAGGCUACACCCAACAUUUGGUCCUGUGUGAAUGCUGGAGACCUCCAAAUCAAACUGACCAGAAAGAGAAGCAGCCAACAUCUGAAACAGAUAGCUUUUCCAAGAUGGCUGCACCAAGCCUGUACACCUUUUACUCACUGUUGCACCUUACCUUAUUUUCUGUCUGUCUGUCUUGGAAAGACAAUACUCUUAUCCACAUCUCCCAAUCUAUUGCCAAAAGGGUAAAUCUUUCUGACUGUUGGGUUUGUCAUCAGAAGCCUCAUUCUGUACAUGAAUCUAGAGAAUCUUUUAGCACAUUUAAUUACCAAUCUCUCCACCAUUCCUCUCCUAAUUCCUUAUGCUGUCUAGAACUCCUUGCCUAACCAAUUGAACCUCCAGAAAUUGAACUGGUAACAUUGUAACUAUUGUAAAUGCCUCUUGUUGAACUUGGGUAAACACCUCCAGCAAGGUAAAGACAGAACUAGACAGAAUUUGAGCACAAGCUGAAAGAUUCGAUGCAGUGCCCACUGACAUCCCGUAGUUCUUUGAUCUGUUUAGCUGGCUACCCUCAAGAACUGUCUCUUGGUUCAGGUCUAUUCUGCAAUUUGGACUUAGCAUUUUGUUUAUUAUUAUAGAAAUUCUCACUUUUGUAAAACGUCUCUUCUGCAUGGCUUGAUGUUAUAAAAACACCACUUGGAUAAUGGUCGCUCAGUGUUUUGAAAUGAUUGCUAAAGCUUACAAGCCUUCACCUGAGAAACUUCAAGGAACUAAAGACAAUGUCUGCCCUUGAAAGAACUUGAUGGUAAGGCUUUUCUCUGCUCUGGCACUCCUGUUGCUCAAAUGUGGCCUAGGAUCUUAAGGAAAACACUUUCCCUCCUACAUGGGACAUGAAAUACUAGGAAUGAGCCUUUCUGGUUAUGAGAGACCAACAGUGCUUUGAUGACUGAUCAGCAAUACUUUCCACGAAAGGUCUUGAUCAAAAGGGGAAAAAUGUCAAAAUUGACUUUAGUGGAGCCAUUUUAAAAUGGAGUUGGAGCUGCCUCUCCAGAGAAACUGCCCUGCCGUUUUGAACCUUGGACUGGGCCAAACCUUUGGACUGGGCCAAAAUGGCCACUGUUUUACAAGCAAUUGUUUGAGGAGUCAGUAGGAGAAUGGACAUCCUGAUCACAAAGGCUGAGGAUUGCAGACUUUCUGAAGAUAGAAUCAAUACUCAAUCAAUGCUUAGCCAAGACUAACUUCUGCCUCCAACUCCAGUUAAAAUUCUUUGUAACAUAAACCUCCCUUCUUUGCCUUUAAAAGCCCCUGACUUUUACUUCCUAGCUGGAUGCUAUCUGUGCUCCCCAAAAUGAAAUUCUUUGAUCCCAAAUAAAUGCUUUGCCUCUUAAUCUGGUUUCU